GCUGGGCAUGGUGGCCCAUGCCUGUAGUCUAGCUACUCGGGAGGCUGGGGCAGGAGGAUCGCUUGAGUCUGGGAGGCUGAGGUUGCAGUGAGCAGAGACUGUGCCACUGCACUUCAGCCUGGGCAACAGAACAAGACCCUGUCUCAA
rnacentral:SRP_RNA from 2 species